rnacentral:rRNA from 1 species
UACGGGGGGGGCAAGCGUUGUUCGGAAUUACUGGGCGUAAAGGGCUCGUAGGCGGCCAACUAAGUCAGACGUGAAAUCCCUCGGCUUAACCGGGGAACUGCGUCUGAUACUGGAUGGCUUGAGAUUGGGAGAGGGAUGCGGAAUUCCAGGUGUAGCGGUGAAAUGCGCAGAUAUCAGGAGGAACACCGAUGGCGAAGGCAGGUCUCUGGGCAUUAACUGACGCUGAGGAGCGAAAGCAUGGGGAGCGAACAGG